rnacentral:snoRNA from 1 species
UGCCUUUGUGUUGCCCGUUCAUUGCUUUUUUCCCCCCAAGUGAACGAGGUGUCAAACAAGGCAUACAGCAACUCUUGCAAGUGUAUUUCAUCUGGGUGCUUACCUUUGCACACUUGAUUGUAUUUCUUGCAAGAACAAAU